GACGAACGCUGGCGGCGUGCUUAACACAUGCAAGUCGAACGAUGAAGCUAGAGCUUGCUCCGGUGAAUUAGUGGCGAACGGGUGAGUAACACGUGAGUUACCUGCCCCGAACUCUGGGAUAACUGCUGGAAACGGUAGCUAAUACUGGAUACGACCUACGAAGGCAUCUUCUGUAGGUGGAAAGAAUUUCGGUUCGGGAUGGACUCGCGGCCUAUCAGCUUGUUGGUGAGGUAAUGGCUCACCAAGGCGACGACGGGUAGCCGGCCUGAGAGGGUGACCGGCCACACUGGGACUGAGACACGGCCCAGACUCCUACGGGAGGCAGCAGUGGGGAAUAUUGCACAAUGGGCGCAAGCCUGAUGCAGCAACGCCGCGUGAGGGAUGAAGGCCUUCGGGUUGUAAACCUCUUUUAGCAGGGAAGAAGCGAAAGUGACGGUGCCUGCAGAAAAAGCACCGGCUAACUACGUGCCAGCCGCCGCUGUAA
rnacentral:rRNA from 1 species